AUUGAACGCUGGCGGCAUGCUUUACACAUGCAAGUCGAACGGUAACAGGUCUUCGGAUGCUGACGAGUGGCGAACGGGUGAGUAAUACAUCGGAACGUGCCUGGUAGUGGGGGAUAACUACUCGAAAGAGUAGCUAAUACCGCAUGAGAUCUACGGAUGAAAGCAGGGGACCUUCGGGCCUUGUGCUACUAGAGCGGCUGAUGGCAGAUUAGGUAGUUGGUGGGGUAAAGGCUUACCAAGCCUGCGAUCUGUAGCUGGUCUGAGAGGACGACCAGCCACACUGGGACUGAGAAACGGCCCAGACUCCUACGGGAGGCAGCAGUGGGGAAUUUUGGACAAUGGGCGAAAGCCUGAUCCAGCAAUGCCGCGUGCAGGAUGAAGGCCCUCGGGUUGUAAACUGCUUUUGUACGGAACGAAAAGCCUGGGGCUAAUAUCCCCGGGUCAUGACGGUACCGUAAGAAUAAGCACCGGCUAACUACGUGCCAGCCGCCGCUGUAA
rnacentral:rRNA from 1 species